rnacentral:misc_RNA from 1 species
AACCGUAAGAAGCACAAAAACUCUUUCAAACAUCGAUGCCGUCGUGGGUGUGCCCAGAGUGCGAGUACGAGAACGAAGAGGGAGACGCAGCCUGCGCAGCAUGCGAGGUGGACUGCCCUAAGGCAGGUCAGGCCGUCGCCGCGGCGGAUGACGAUGACGCAUACGCGCACAUUCACGUUGGUGUAAUCAUGGAGUGCGAAGACGCGCCCAACACGAAGCUGAAGCGCCUGAAGGUCAACGUGGGCCAGGGAGAGCCGAUACCCGUUGUGACGGCGGCAACCAAUGUCAAACAGGGUGACCACGUCGUCGUGGCCUGCGUCGGGGCCGAGGUCAAGGGCGAGACAGUAACCAAGACUACAGUCAAGGGGUUCCCUUCGCAGGGGAUGCUGUGCGACGCGGGCAUGCUGGGGUGGGCCGGCGGUGGCGCAGGAGCUGCUGUGACGUUGCCGGAGUCCUUUGCCGUGGGUGCGCGUCCGCCGAGCAGCCGCCCGCGCGGUAACGCUGCGUGAACGCGUGGAUAGGGGAAGAAAAAAGGCAGCCACGAGUAACACAUCACGCACUCGUUUCGCGCGCGCACGGCGCUGGCGCCGCGACCGCGCGUGUUGUGUGGGUUUGGGCAUGUCUGACGGUCGAGCGACUCCUCCAGGUUUCUGCCCCAGCGACGUGGCCGAUGCUGACGUACACAUGUUCUUAAAAAAAAACAAUCAAAAGGGCUAAAAGAGGCAGCGGCGUGGUUUGUUUGCGGCACAUCCUCUCAGCCCCUCCGUCUCUUGUGAGACCCCUCCUCAAGACCCCUUCUUUUUUUCCUGAUCGGCAACGCAGAAAUAAUU